rnacentral:rRNA from 1 species
AUUGAACGCUGGCGGCAUGCCUUACACAUGCAAGUCGAACGGCAGCACGGGUUCUUGCACCUGGUGGCGAGUGGCGAACGGGUGAGUAAUACAUCGGAACAUGUCCUGUAGUGGGGGAUAGCCCGGCGAAAGCCGGAUUAAUACCGCAUACGAUCUACGUAUGAAAGCGGGGGACCUUCGGGCCUCGCGCUAUAGGGUUGGCCGAUGGCUGAUUAGCUAGUUGGUGGGGUAAAGGCCUACCAAGGCGACGAUCAGUAGCUGGUCUGAGAGGACGACCAGCCACACUGGGACUGAGACACGGCCCAGACUCCUACGGGAGGCAGCAGUGGGGAAUUUUGGACAAUGGGCGAAAGCCUGAUCCAGCAAUGCCGCGUGUGUGAAGAAGGCCUUCGGGUUGUAAAGCACUUUUGUCCGGAAAGAAAUCCUUGGCCCUAAUACGGUCGGGGGAUGACGGUACCGGAAGAAUAAGCACCGGCUAACUACGUG